UACGGGGGGAGCAAGCGUUGUUCGGAUUUACUGGGCGUAAAGGGCGCGUAGGCGGCCACCGCAAGUCGGUUGUGAAAUCUCUGGGCUUAACCCAGAAAGGUCAACCGAUACUGCGGGGCUAGAGUGCAGAAGGGGCAACUGGAAUUCUCGGUGUAGCGGUGAAUGCGUAGAUAUCGAGAGGAACACCUGCGGCGAAGGCGGGUUGCUGGGCUGACACUGACGCUGAAGCGCGAAAGCUAGGGGAGCGAACGGG
rnacentral:rRNA from 1 species